rnacentral:rRNA from 1 species
UACGGAAGGUGCGAGCGUUAAUCGGAAUUACUGGGCGUAAAGCGCGCGUAGGUGGCUUGAUAAGUCGGGUGUGAAAGCCCCGGGCUCAACCUGGGAACUGCACUCGAUACUGUCGAGCUAGAGUACGAGAGAGGGGGGUGGAAUUCCAGGUGUAGCGGUGAAAUGCGUAGAGAUCUGGAGGAACAUCAGUGGCGAAGGCGGCCCCCUGGCUCGAUACUGACGCUGAGGUGCGAAAGCGUGGGGAGCAAACAGG